UACGUAGGUUGCAAGCGUUGUCCGGAAUUAUUGGGCGUAAAGCGCGCGCAGGCGGUCCUUUAAGUCUGAUGUGAAAGCCCACGGCUCAACCGUGGAGGGUCAUUGGAAACUGGGGGACUUGAGUACAGAAGAGAAGAGUGGAAUUCCACGUGUAGCGGUGAAAUGCGUAGAGAUGUGUAGGAACACCAGUGGCGAAGGCGACUCUUUGGUCUGUAACUGACGCUGAGGCGCGAAAGCGUGGGGAGCAAACAGG
rnacentral:rRNA from 1 species